rnacentral:rRNA from 1 species
GAAGGUUGCGAGCGUUGUUCGGGAAUCACUGGGCUUAAAGCGCGCGUAGGCGGGAUAGACAGUGUCUUGUGAAAUCCCUCGGGCUUAACCGGGGAAUUGCUGGGCAUACUACUAUUCUUGAGGUAAGUAGGGGUACAUGGAACUCUUGGUGGAGCGGUGGAAUGCGUAGAUAUCAAGAGGAACGCCAAUGGUGAAGACAGUGUACUGGCCUUAUCCUGACGCUGAGGUGCGAAAGCGUGGGUAGCGAACGGGAUUAGAUACCCCGGUAGUCCACGCCGUAAACGAUGUCUACUAGAUCGCAGGGAUUCUGACAUUCUUGCGGUCGAAGCAAAAGUGUUAAGUAGACCGCCUGGGGAGUACGGUCGCAAAGGCUAA